rnacentral:piRNA from 1 species
UAACGGGAAAACUGAUAAAAU